rnacentral:rRNA from 1 species
GAUGAACGCUGGCGGCGUGCCUAAUACAUGCAAGUCGAGCGAACAGACGAUGAGCUUGCUCCUCUGACGUUAGCGGCGGACGGGUGAGUAACACGUGGAUAACCUACCUAUAAGACUGGGAUAACUUCGGGAAACCGGAGCUAAUACCGGAUAAUAUCUUGAACCGCAUGGUUCAAUAGUGAAAGACGGUUUUGCUGUCACUUAUAGAUGGAUCCGCGCCGCAUUAGCUAGUUGGUAAGGUAACGGCUUACCAAGGCAACGAUGCGUAGCCGACCUGAGAGGGUGAUCGGCCACACUGGAACUGAGACACGGUCCAGACUCCUACGGGAGGCAGCAGUAGGGAAUCUUCCGCAAUGGGCGAAAGCCUGACGGAGCAACGCCGCGUGAGUGAUGAAGGUCUUCGGAUCGUAAAACUCUGUUAUUAGGGAAGAACAAAUGUGUAAGUAACUAUGCACGUCUUGACGGUACCUAAUCAGAAAGCCACGGCUAACUACGUG